rnacentral:rRNA from 1 species
UCAUUACACAAAUAUGAAGGCGGGCUGGAACCUCUCGGGGUUACAGCCUUGCUGAAUUAUUCACCCUUGUCUUUUGCGUACUUCUUGUUUCCUUGGUGGGUUCGCCCACCACUAGGACAAACAUAAACCUUUUGUAAUUGCAAUCAGCGUCAGUAACAAAUUAAUAAUUACAACUUUCAACAACGGAUCUCUUGGUUCUGGCAUCGAUGAAGAACGCAGCGAAAUGCGAUAAGUAGUGUGAAUUGCAGAAUUCAGUGAAUCAUCGAAUCUUUGAACGCACAUUGCGCCCUUUGGUAUUCCAAAGGGCAUGCCUGUUCGAGCGUCAUUUGUACCCUCAAGCUUUGCUUGGUGUUGGGCGUCUUGUCUCUAGCUUUGCUGGAGACUCGCCUUAAAGUAAUUGGCAGCCGGCCUACUGGUUUCGGAGCGCAGCACAAGUCGCACUCUCUAUCAGCAAAGGUCUAGCAUCCAUUAAGCCUUUUUUUCAACUUUUGACCUCGGAUCAGGUAGGGAUACCCGCU